rnacentral:rRNA from 1 species
UACGUAGGUGGCGAACGUUGUCCGGAUUUACUGGGCGUAAAGCGCGCGCAGGCGGACCGAUAAGUCAGAGGUGAAAUCUCCCGGCUCAACUGGGAGGGGCCCUUUGAUACUGUCGGUCUUGAGAUGCCUAGAGGAGAGUGGAAUUCCUAGUGUAGAGGUGAAAUUCGUAGAUAUUAGGAAGAACACCAGUGGCGAAGGCGGCUCACUGGCCCGGUACUGACGCUGAGGCGCGAAAGCGUGGGGAGCAAACAGG